rnacentral:rRNA from 1 species
UUUGCGUCGAAGGUAUACCGGUAAGGAGUGCUGGAGCGAAUAGAAGUGAGCAUGCAGGCAUGAGUAGCGAUAAUUAAUGUGAGAAUCAUUAACGCCGUAAACCCAAGGUUUCCUACGCGAUGCUCGUCAUCGUAGGGUUAGUCGGGUCCUAAGUCGAGUCCGAAAGGGGUAGACGAUGGCAAAUUGGUUAAUAUUCCAAUACCAACAUUAGUGUGCGAUGGAAGGACGCUUAGGGCUAAGGGGGCUAGCGGAUGGAAGUGCUAGUCUAAGGUCGUAGGAGGUUAUACAGGCAAAUCCGUAUAACAAUACUCCGAGAACUGAAAGGCUUUUUGAAGUCUUCGGAUGGAUAGAAGAACCCCUGAUGCCGUCGAGCCAAGAAAAGUUUCUAAGUUUAGCUAAUGUUGCCCGUACCGUAAACCGACACAGGUGGGUGGGAUGAGUAUUCUAAGGCGCGUGGAAGAACUCUCUUUAAGGAACUCUGCAAAAUAGCACCGUAUCUUCGGUAUAAGGUGUGGUUAGCUUUGUAUUAGGAUUUACUCCGAAAGCAA